CACUCGCCGGCGAGUGUGGUUGAUUUUAGUGUAAUGUAUGUAAGUGUGUGUGUAUAUGUUUAUGAUUGUAUGUAUGUAUGUUUGUAUGUGUGUAAGCUGUGUAAAUGUUAGUGUGCAUGUUACGCAUAGCUAACCCUAGCGAAGCGCCGCAUAAGCAUAGUCCCAUAAACGUUGCACACGGCACUCGAGGCACGAGGCGCAAGCGCAGCAGAAACGUGACUUAGGUGACAUCAUGACGGCGUUUACCCGAUCAUGGGAAAUAUAAUUGUAUUCAUUACUUGAUCUAGCAUCGAUCAGUAGACAUUAGGAUAAUUAAUUGUAAUUAGUUUUAACUUUCUUGUAAUAAAUAAGUUGAAGUAAA